GGGCUGUGAGGGAGCAGAGAAACUUUAGGAAAGUCAUCCCCGAGGGGGCGGGGGAUGCUCCGCGGUGCCCCACGAGGGAAUGUUUUCCACGCGAGAAGGCUUCUGGGGAGUCGUGCGGGGGGCGGGGGCAGCUGUCCUGGAGUGCGCGUCUUUCACGCGUUAAGCAUCGGGACGGUGAAGUAAAACCCCGCUCGCCAGCGCGGCCCCCACGCGGGUCACAAACUUUUAAGAGGAGCGGGUGGGCACGGCACGGCGUCCCUCGCCGGGGCAGGGAGCGGGAGCAGCGCUGGUCGCUCCCCUGCGACGGACAAAAUAAAAUACGAAAAUGAGCAUCAGGAUGCGCCGCGUGGAACGACCGGCGGUGACCAAACCCAGGUGCUGGCUGCGGGCCGCGCCAGCUCCGGCCCUGCACAGCGCGCCCGAAGUUUCGGUCUACUCGAACCCAUCCCCAGCUCAGGACAGCUCGCUCCUAGCCGGCUCCGGCGGGAAAGCGCUGAGAGAAAAUAAUGUGAGGGGAAAUAAAUAAAUAAAUGAAUAAAUAAAUAUUAAAAGCGGGUUCUUCCCAGCAGGUCCGGGCUGCAAUCCGGAGCAGAGCCUGCCGGGCGCGCUUUGUCCCGUCGUGAUCGCAGGUUUCCGCAGCGUGGGGAAGGGAGCGCCCGCACCCCCGUCCCGGUGGCCGCAGAGGGUCGCCCGGCCGCUGCCGGCGGAGCGGCGAGGUUUCCCGUAGGAAAACAGCACUGGGCUUGCAGGCGGCAGGGGAAUAAACUGAGGAGAGGGAAUAACGCCCUACGGAAGGACCGGCGGCAGGGGAGCGCUGCAGGGCUCUCAGCGGCAGGCCCCUACUUCAGAUCAACUCAUUAUCCUGAAUAAACGAUGUGUCAUUCCCAUUAUUUAUGUUUCACUGCAGCCAAAGUAUCUGGACCUUGUUUUGCAGACGUUGGACACACUUCCAAGGCACAGAGAUGAUUGGAAUAGUUUUUGCCACAAGGAAAAGAUCAUGCCAAGC